UGUUAAGUAGUCAUUCAUUACAUAAUUUAAACACCAUCCAUUACAACCCGCGUCAUGAUUAUUACCUAUCUUAAAACCGACAUGUCACGAGAAGUGAGGAUGAAACUAAACGCGUCACGACUCCUUAUAAGUUAUAUACACAUUUCGUUUACUAUUUACAUAACAUAAGCCGCGUACUAAUAAAGAGAGUUGUAAGUAAAGGAAGUGGCUACAAUGGUCGCAAUGCAAAUAACGAGUGAAGGAAGUAACGUGAUGUUCAAGAGCUCACUCAUACCCCAGUAUCCUGCAAGUGUAAUCGUUCCAUCUGCAACCACUCGAGCUAGCGUCCCAGCUUCAGUUGACAGUAGCCCGCCAUUGUAGGUCCCACGGGAUAAGCGAGAUGACAUCACCCGCGAUAAGAGGGACAAGUUCACACCUAUUAAUAACUUCAGCAGACACAAAUGUUAGAAGAGCCGAGAAGAUGUACUGAGGUGCCGAAUAGGGGAUGAUCGUAU
rnacentral:lncRNA from 1 species